UGUGGCUUAAUUUGACUCAACGCGGGAAAUCUUACCGGGUCCGGACACACUGAGGAUUGACAGAUAUACGCUCAUUGCUGCGUGCUUCGGCGCGUGCUUUGAGCUGAAAGAUGCUAGUUCUUUCAUGAUUAUGUGAUAGGUGGUGCAUGGCCGUUCUUAGUUCGUGGAGUGAUCUGUCUGCUUAAUUGCGUAUCAAUAAUAGAGACCUAGUAUACGCGUGGAUUUCGCGUGGUAGUGACCCCCUGUUUAACGACAGGCGUGUGUCGCACACGCGUACCUACGCACUGGUCUCAGAUAGCAACGAACGUGACCGUAUUCUAUUGUUGCAGUGAAAUGUGCCUUCUGGGUACGACCCACUGCUUAGUAUAUGUACGUGCUUCGGCGCGAACAAUAUACAUUAAACUAUAGAGACCGCUGUUUCUUCUUUAAACCAGAGGAAGGAUACGGCAAUAACAGGUCUGUGAUG
rnacentral:rRNA from 1 species